CUCGAAUACCGCUCCUAAUCGCACAGUCCAUCUUCGCAAUGCAUACUAUCAUAUGAGUUGUUUGUUUGUGUACUGUGUCUGUGUCCCUCUCUUUCUCUCUCAAAAAUCUCUGCUACUUUUCUUCGUCUCUACGUUGAUUGGAUCUAGGGUUUCUGUAGCCCAAUUUCCGAUUUAAUCAAUCGCAAUUUCUCUCUCUAGCCUUUUUCUUUUCGUUCCAACUCCGCCCUCUCGGUGCAAAGCUAGAAGGAGAUAAUCAAUUCUCUACCUUUUUACAUUCAUUCUAGCCAUUCUGUUACGCGGACACCCAAAGUUUUGCUCCUUACCUAAUCUCUGAUCAGGUUAUGGAAGCAUAGAUAUACGACAUUGACAAAGUUGUUUUGUAGAAGCCAUGGGGACUGAAAACCCUGGUCGACCUAAUUUUCCUAUGGCAUCUUCCACUACACCAUUUGCUGCUGUUCCUCCAACUAUGUCACCAUUUUCAUCAUCUGGUCCUGUGGUUGGUUCAGAGGCCCCUGGUUUUAGAGCUACCCCAUCAGCGUUUCCUCAAACUACAAUACCUUCGACACUAUCUGGGCCUGCAGGUGGACCACAGACCUCUGGCUUUAGACCUGCUUCCCCGGCAUCAUACAUACCUUCUACUGUUGGACCCUUCCAGCGUUUCCCGGCUCCACAAUUUCCUACUACACCUCAACCUUCCCCUGCUGGAGCUCCUUCUGCUGGGCAACAAUCAUUUCAACCUUCUGCUGGUCAGGUAUCAUCUCCACUUAUAUUUCGCCCACAGCCACCACAUAUGCCUUCAGUGCCAAUGGGAUCUCCUCCCCCUUCAAAUGUGAACGUUCCUCAAUCUUCAUCAGAUUCAUCCUUUUUUGCUUCAAGGCCCAAUUUUCAGCCAUCUUUUCCUCCAGCAGAUUCGUCUUAUCCUCCUGCUAGAGCCACUUUGCAGCCACCUUUACCUGGAUACAUAAAGCAGUCGACUGCAGUUUCACAAGCCCCUCCUAUACAGUCCCCUUUUGAAGCUCAACAAGGAAGUUACAUACCUCCUGCACCAACACCAUCUCCCCCUUUUCCUUCUCACCGAGGAGGUUUUGGUCAACCUCCAUCAGUUGCUGCCCCUUAUGGCUUGCAUUCAAAGGACCAAUUCCAACAGCCAGGCUCCAUACCUCCCAUAGGUGGCAUCCAAGGUUUGUUGGAAGAUUUCAGUUCACUGUCAGUUGGAUCUAUGCCAGGAUCAAUAGAGCCUGGACUUGAUCCAAAAGCUUUGCCAAGGCCUUUGGAUGGUGAUGUGGAGCCAACUCCAUUACCUGAAGCAUACUCUAUGAAUUGUGAUCCUAGAUAUCUUCGGCUUACCACUAGUGCUAUACCAAAUUCUCAGUCUUUGGUUUCAAGGUGGCAUUUACCUCUUGGAGCAGUUGUUUGUCCUCUUGCAGAAGCUCCAGAUGGGGAGGAGGUGCCGGUACUCAAUUUUGUUUCAACUGGCAUUAUUCGUUGUAGGAGAUGUCGUACAUAUGUGAAUCCAUAUGUAACCUUUACAGAUGCUGGAAGAAAGUGGCGUUGCAACAUCUGUUCUCUACUUAAUGAUGUUCCUGGUGAGUAUUUUGCCCAUUUAGAUGCCACUGGUAGAAGAGUUGAUUUGGAUCAGCGA
rnacentral:misc_RNA from 1 species